rnacentral:rRNA from 1 species
CCUACGGGUGGCUGCAGUCGAGAAUCUUUCACAAUGGGGGCAACCCUGAUGGAGCGACGCCGCGUGGAGGAUAAGGUCUUCGGAUUGUAAACUCCUGUCAUGCGUGAACAAGGUUGCUUGGUUAAUACCUGGGCAAAUUGAUGGUAACGCAAGAGGAAGAGACGGCUAACUCUGUGCCAGCAGCCGCGGUAAUACAGAGGUCUCAAGCGUUGUUCGGAAUCACUGGGCGUAAAGGGUGCGUAGGUGGCGUGGUAAGUCAGAUGUGAAAGCCCGGG